rnacentral:rRNA from 1 species
GAUGAACGCUGGCGGCGUGCCUAAUACAUGCAAGUCGAGCGAACGGACGAGAAGCUUGCUUCUCUGAUGUUAGCGGCGGACGGGUGAGGAACACGUGGAUAACCUACCUAUAAGACUGGGAUAACUUCGGGAAACCGGAGCUAAUACCGGAUAAUAUUUUGAACCGCAUGGUUCAAAAGUGAAAGACGGUCUUGCUGUCACUUAUAGAUGGAUCCGCGCUGCAUUAGCUAGUUGGUAAGGUAACGGCUUACCAAGGCAACGAUGCAUAGCCGACCUGAGAGGGUGAUCGGCCACACUGGAACUGGGACACGGUCCAGACUCCUACGGGAGGCAGCAGUAGGGAAUCUUCCGCAAUGGGCGAAAGCCUGACGGAGCAACGCCGCGUGAGUGAUGAAGGUCUUCGGAUCGUAAAACUCUGUUAUUAGGGAAGAACAUAUGUGUAAGUAACUGUGCACAUCUUGACGUUACCUAAUCAGAAAGCCACGGCUAACUACGUG